rnacentral:misc_RNA from 1 species
CUUCUAAGCUCUGCAAUUCCACGGAAACUCUCUCCAAUCCCCUGAAUUGAAUUUACCAAAAAUAUUAUUUAUUUCAUCACCAAUUGCUUUCUGUUUGUUUCUUCUUAUUAUCUUUCCUCCAUUUUCUUUCCAAAUUUUCCAAAAGGGUAUACUGUGAAGUUGAAUUUCCGGGAAGGAUAAUCUGGGAAAGGAAGUAUUCUACAGGCACGUUGUAGAUCCUCUGUUUCUGCUACUCUGUUCGUCUAUGAUAUUGUAAUUAAUUGGAAAAGCGCAUUUUUAGGAGAUUCUCGGCUCAAUUGUUUAUACCUGUUCUCAAAUUCCCAC